GAGGAGGAGGAGGAGAGUAGCGGAAGUUGCCUUAGUGUUUCCGGGUCUCCCAGACGGAGCGCAGUUAGCAUGUGUUAGCAUGUGUUAGCAUGUUAGCUGAGUGUAAACCAGGACACAAACAGAGUUCAGUCGACUUCAGGAUCUUAAACUUUGAUCCAAACGGCGGCUCGCGACCAUCUGAGUCAUCGAUAAACCGGAAGUCCCACGGGAGACGGAUGUGUGAUGUGUUGUUACAGUGCGACAUGAAGCUGCGGAGAGAAGCAGAUGUCCACCAGCUGUUGGUGGUUAAAGAAAAGUUUCCUCCUGAGCAGCAGGACCAGGAUGACCCAGAGCCCGGAGGAGGACCAGGAUCAGACAGGAAGUCAGAGACCAGAGAACCUCCGUCAGUUCCUGUCGGUGAUUCCAGACGUAGUGCUGCAGAGAAACCACUCAGCUGCUCUGAGUGUGGGAGGAGAUUUAAGCAGAGGGGACACCUGAAGCAACACUUGAAAACUCACACAGGAGAGAAACCGUUCAGCUGCUCCGUCUGUCGGGAGUCAUUUGCUCAGAGAGUCGGGUUACAGACACACAUGAGGACUCACAAAGGAGUGAAACCACUCAGCUGCUCUUGGACUUCCUGCCUUAGACACCAUCAGUGUGGACAAUAUGAACCAACCAGAUACCGCCUCCUGCUGCCCCGCCCCCCCACUGAUGGUAGGAUGUGGACCGUAGAGCCUCAGUCAUGUUCAAACUAUCUGAAUCCUAAAAUGGCCGACAGCAGAGGGUGGAGCUCCUCUGAUGUGUGGGCGUGUCCUGAAGCCGAGACUGAGGUCAUCAUUGAUGGUUGGGAGGAGACCAGAGAGCCUCAGACAGAUGUCCAGCAGCUGUUGGUGAGUCAGGAACAGGUCCCCCCUCAGCAGCUGGACUGGAGCUCCAGUGACGAUGAUGAAGACAAACCUUUGUCCUCACAGCUUCAUCUGAGACAGCAGAUGGAGAUAGAAGCUCAUGGACAAGACUGUGGAGGACCAGGACCAGCAGGGAGUCAGAGACUCAUGUGGAUUUCCUGCCUCAGACACCAUCAGUGUGGAGGGUCCAAACGCAGCAGGUACCGCCUCCUGCUGCCCCGCCCCCCCACUGAUGGUUGGAUUUGGACCGUAGAGCCUCUGUCAGAUUUAAACUCUCUGAAUCCUAAAAUUGCCGACAGCAGAGGGCGGAGCUCCUCUGAUAUGUGGGCGUGUCCUGAAGCUGAGACUGAGGUCAUCAUUGAUGGUUGGGAGGAGACCAGAGAGCCUCAGACAGUUUUACCCUCAGACAUCCAGGAAGUGAUGGUGGGUGCAGAGGUCCAGCAGCUGUUGGUGGUUAAAGAAGAGGUUCCCCCUGAGCAGCAGGAGUGGAGCUCCAGUGUGGACCAGGAGGACCCAGAGCCCCCACACAUUAAAGAGGAAGAGGAGGAACUGUGGAGCAGUCAGGAGGGAGAGCAGCUUCAAGGGCUGGAGGAGGCUGAUAUCACCAAGUUCACAUUCACUCCUGUCCCUGUGAAGAGUGAAGAUGAUGAAGAGAAACCUCAGUCUGAGGGACACCACUGUGGAGGACCAGGACCAGGACCAGGACUAGACAGGAACUCACAUCCAGAUCCAGAUUUAGAACCAGAUACCAAGGACGAGAAGCCUGACGAUUCUUUAGUAGGUGAAAUACGACUGGUGUCUGGAGACUCUUCUGAAGCUGAGACUGAUGACAGUGAUGAUUGGACGGAGACCAGAGACCCUCAGUCAGGGUUCUGUUGGUGACUGAAGAUGUUGCGCUGCAGAGAGAAACUCCUGUUAAUGACUUCAUCUCCUCAGUUCGUCGUCUCUGAUCCCUUGGUUUUAUUUUACCAACAUAUCAGAUGAUAAACCGUCCUGUCAUUACACUCACAAAUGAUCCUGACAUCAUCGUUUGUCCCUGAUCCUCUUUUGGUCUGUUGAUGAUUCUCUCGUCCACAUGUCAGGACAGACACGUCCCUCUGGUUUAUAAAGAAUCCAACUGAGAGCGGCUCAACAAGACCACCAUGACACAGCUCAUUCAGGGAACAGGUACUAUAUUGUGGGGACACGGACACAGAUUGGUUUAUAACAACAUGCAAGAGGUGGCGUCUUCCUAUCAAUCCCAAAAAGACAGAGGUCAUAGAGUUCAGAAAACCAGGCAACAAAUAUGUGACGCUUACCUUCAAUGAGGAUACAAAAAACCACAAAGAACAUCAUGACAGGGAUCGUCAAAGCAGAUGCGGGUUUAUGUUUGAAGAUCCAGGGAGUGAAUUGUGCCUGGUUUCAUCAUUUGAAAAGUACCUGUCUAAAAUCCCAAAAGAGGCUAAAGCUUUUUACCUCCAUCCAAAAAGAGGAGGAAAGUUAGGGGAGGUGUGGUACUCUUUGGAACCCAUGGGUGUAAAUUACCUAGGCUCCAUGCUAUCGCAGAUCUCUAAAGAUGCAGGCACAUCAGCGAUUUACACAAAUCACAGCAUCAGGAGCACUACUGUCCAGAAACUGGCCGAGUGCGGACUGGAAACGAGAGAAAUAAUGGCCGUUAGUGGACACAAGUCCGAGAGUUCCUUACACAGCUACUGGGCCCCUUCUCUGGAUAAUAGAAAACGGUGGAGCAAUAUGCUGCGCACCAGCCGUGGAAACGUCAGGCCGGCAGAGACCAGCCCCUCAAACACCUCUGCAGCAUCACCUGCGAAACGGCUGAGAUCCAGUAUGGAUUUGAUGGAUAACUGUUUCACCAACUGUUCUUUUAAUGGCAGUCUGCAGUUCAAUUUCUACAAAUAACUCCUCCUUGAUCAGUUACUGGAUACUAAAUGGUGUGUAAAAAUGAGAUAAAAUAUGACCCAGGACAACACACAUGUACGACCACAAAUAAGAAUCUAAGACAUAAGAUAAAAUAGUGAAGUUGCAUACAGGAAUGAGAUGUGUGUACAUAAUAAAUUAGAAAAUAAAAGUGUUAUGUGGUUUAACAGUCUGGAUGUUACCUGGCUAAUAUUUUCACCUUGUGG